UACAGAGGGGGCAAGCGUUAUUCGGAAUUAUUGGGCGUAAAGGGCGCGUAGGCGGCCAUCUAAGUCAGACGUGAAAUCCCCCGGCUUAACCUGGGAACUGCGUCUGAUACUGGACGGCUUGAGUUUGGGAGAGGGAUGCAGAAUUCCAGGUGUAGCGGUGAAAUGCGUAGAUAUCUGGAGGAAUACCGGUGGCGAAGGCGGCAUCCUGGACCGACAUUGACGCUGAUGAGCGAAAGCUAGGGGAGCAAACGGG
rnacentral:rRNA from 1 species